ACGGCUUCCCUCAGCAAUUAAAACAGCAUCCACCCCUGCCUUUUUAGGGCCCAGGAGGUCCUACUUGAUCUGGCUCUCACCUGUCUUUCCAAUCUCCCUUCAUUCUUCUCCAGUACGCUCCGGCUGCUGCACUGGCCUUAUCCUGUGCCUUGGACAUACUCAAGUUUAUCUUCACCUUAGAGCCCUUGAACUUGCUGCUCCUGCCCAUGACCAGCUUCUCAUUUUGGACACAGCUCCAGGGUCACCUCCUCAGAACGGCUUUUCCUCCCCAACUCCAGUUCUCUCUGUCACAUCACCAUUGAAUUGCCCUUAUGCUCCCUUUCAUGACUUUCCGCUCACUUCUCAACCCCUGCCUGUCUUCCCUUGCAAGAAGAAGAUCCCUCUGCAUAAUAUGGAAGAUGAACUGAAGGUGAACCAUGAUGGCAGCAGUAAAGAGGUGCUCCACUAUGAAAAAUGCAAAAGAGCAAGCCUAAGGAGGAGGACUACUUGCCACUACCACUUUCUCAUCUUUUGGGGAAAAUAAUCUCCAGAGCUUUGACUUCCAAGACAGAUCCAAGACAAGGUUGGAGAGCAGAGAGUCUAGAGGAAUAAAACAAUUCAAAGGGUUGGAAUUUAUAUCAAACAGCUUUCUAUCACUGUGACAAAAUACCAGAGAAAAUCAAUUUUAAAAGAGGAAGGAUUUAUUUUGGCUCACAGUUUUAAGUUUUAGUUCAUGCUCACUUGGAUGCAUUGCUUCUGGGCCUGUGGUGAGGCUGAACAUCAUGGUGGAAAGCAUGUGAUAGAGCAAAGCAGCUCCUGUCAUGGUGGGCAGGAAGAAGAGAGGGACAGACAGAGACAGAGAGACAGGCUGAACACAAGAAGUGGCUUUCCAGGUUACACCCCCAGUGACCUACUUCCUCCAACCAGGCCCUACCUCCUCAUUUUCACCACCUCUCAAUAGCACAUUCAAUCCUGAACCCAUGAAUGGAUUAGCCCACUGAUGAGAUUACACCCUUCAUGAUACAAUCACUUCCCCCAAGCCCACCCCUCAACAUUGCUGCAUUGGGGACCAAGCCCCCAACACAUGAGCCUGUGAGAGAUAUUUCAUAUCCAAACCAUAACAGCUACCACUUCCCACCAGUAACAGGGGUGUAGGUCAGUGGUAGAGUGCUUGCCUAGUGUGCACAAGACUCUGGGUUCAGCACCCAGAAUCACAAAACAAAAGGAGGACACCUGGAAGAGAGGACUCUUGAAUACCUAAUUAAGGCUGACUGUAUGGGAAAAAUAUGGGAGUCACCCAUCAUUUGAAUUCCUUGGGUGUUGGUUAUCAGACACUGUCACGGCUUUUUCUCAUGAUGUAUUAUGACGGCAGGCCCUCCAUGCAGUAGUUUUCCCCAUUCACUCCAACUCCUUCACUUUAAAGGUUUGCUUUUCUCCCCAUUCCUUCUUUUUGCUUCUCACAGAUUGCUCAUGCUGUGAGCAUAUUCAAUUUCAUUUGUUCAAGGGCUGCAGGAAGGAAGAUCUUCUGUCUUAGUCAUUUUCCUCCUCACUGGAACAAAAUACCUGCCACCUGCAACUUAAAGGAGGGGAUAUUUAGUUUAGCUCCUGGUUACAGUUCAUGGUCAGCUGUCUCCAAGGUAGGAAACAGCAUGGCAGAGGGGCAUGGUGGAGAAAACGCUUCUCUUAUUUUGGUAACCCAGAAGCAAAGAACAAGUUAGGAACUGUGAAGAAGGUACAUCCCUCCAGGUCACUCCUUCAGGGAUCCUCCUACUGGGACUAGACCCCACUUCCUAACAGCAAGUCAACUAUAGCAUCCCCAUAAUUCAGUCACUUUCCAAAAACCCCACCUAUGAGUUCAUGAGGCUCUUGGGGAACAUAUAGAUAUAAAUCACGUCUUCCUUCCUAUCUCUGUCAGCAGGAAUCAAACAAAAACAGCAAACCUGCUGAGGAUAGAGGCAAAGUCGAAUGGCCUCUGAAUUCUGCAAGGAGUUUGUUGAUUUCUUGCUUGCUUGGGCUUUCUGCCCUCCUCUUCCAUGCCUCCUUUCCCUGCAGUACCUCCAGUCUUCCCGCCGGGGGAUAUUUUCCCCAAGCUUCACCUCCAAUUCUCACAUCAGGGACCCAGCUCACAGUUCUAUGCUAACUUUAGGUCAGCCUCAGUCUUGGUCAGUAGAAAAGCCUGAAGGUAGAGCAGAGAAGCAUUUCAUCCAUGCCCCCAGCCCCACUCGCUUGGCCUUUGAUUCUAAUCCCUGGACUCUUCAACUUGUGGUCUUUGCCAAUUAUUCUCCAGCUUCUUGCCCCAGACCUGUUCUCUAUUCAUCCAGCUCUGUGCUCCCCGAAAGCUGCUUCCUCUGGAAUUUAUUACCUCGGCUUCAUUAUUAACUGGGUUUGGCUGGUAGGAGACACUAGCACGAGGUAGAAAGGGGGUUAGAAAGAGUCGAGGACUUAUCUGCUCCCCUUGGUGCAGCCCUCUUGCAUCCACCCCUAGCAUCUCUCUGCAACACCCAUUCCCAUGGGGAUUAGUUAACCCUAAAGAUGGACCAAAUAUAGAUUUAUAAUAAAUUAUUUAUUGAAUGUAAACCAUAUCCUCAGUUUCAUAUAAGUUUCUUUUUCUUUUAUUGGAUUAAAAAUGAAGUAGGAUAACCUAGAAUCAUGGCAUUUUAGUAAAUGUUUUUAUCUCCAUACACAGGGCAAAGAAAAUUGUUCACCUGAUGUUAUUUAUGAGUGAUGAGAUUUUAGGUGCUUUUUAAACCUUGUUUUUAUACUUUUCCUACAUUGCUAAAAUUCUUAAAAAAUACUUAUUAUUUUCCAAAAAUACUACUUUUGUAAUUAAGAACAGUUCUAGCUUGGGGAUAUAGCUUCAUGGUAUAGCAUUUGCCUACCUUGGGUUCAAUCUCCAGCACCAAAAGUAAAAAAACUUUCUAUCGGGAGGCUGAGAACAGGAGGAUCACCAGGAGUUGGAGGCCACAUAGUGGGAACUAUGUAGUGAGUUCAAAGCCAGCCUGAACUACAUAGCAAAACCCUGUCUCAAAAACCAAAUAAGUUCAUAAAAAGAUAGAUAGAUAGAUAUAGAUAGGCAGACGGACAGACAGAUUCAACCUCAAGGUUGAAAAGGCGAUUAUCUAUUGUCAGUAUAUCUCAUUUAUUUUUAAAAAUUCCAUAUAAACAUUCCACUCCUUUCUCAAAUUGGCUUGAGUUGAAUUCUUUCUAGGGGAAAUGAAGUGGGAGGCAGACAUAAUUAUCCAUGUAAACAAACCAGCUUUCCACUCCACUAGUAUAAAUGCUCCAAUGUGUGUUAAUGUCAUAACUCCAAAACACAACUCAAUAUUGAGAGAUAUGUCUGAGGCAGUACUAUCAUGCCCUAAAUGUAUACCCUGGUUAUAUUUGUCAACUAAAUUUAAGGUUUUUAAGACUAUCAUUGCAAGCCAGGCCUGGUGGCACAUGCCUGUAAUCCCAGCACUCAGGAGGCUGAGACAGGAAGAUCGCUGUGGGUUUGAGGCCAGCCUGGGUGACAUAGUGAGCUCAAGGCCCUGAACUACACAGCAAGACCCUGUCUCAAAAAAAAGACUCAUUCCAUGUGGUUUAUGUAUAUGAACUUUGAAUCCUAGUAGGUCAGAAUCCUGGUUCUCCCUUUCUAGCUAGAGACCUAGUGUAAAAUAAAGACCAUCAGUUUACUUCAUUUAUAAAAGAGGAAUAAUAUCAUCCUACCUAUUUUUUAGGAUUUUCAGACAGUUAAUAAAUAAUAGUAAAUGUUUACAGUACACAGUAGGAAUUUGACAAAUGAAAUCCACCUGAUAAUCAAGUGUUUAGAAAUGUUCACCCAAAAGAGUUCACCAAAUUUUUGCUUGAGAGUGACUUUUCUCUUGCAUCUUAUUUGUUAAAUCAUUGAAUACAUUUGGAGGAGUAAUCAGAAGACAGAAAACGUAAAUGCAAUAUCUAAGUCAUUCUCAAUCAAAAUUCAUAUGUAGGAGCUGGGCGUGGUGGUGCACACCUGUAAUCCCAGCACUCUUGAAGUUGAGGCAGGAGGAUCACCUUGAGUUCGAGGCCAGCCUGGGCUAAAUAGUGAGUUCAAGUCCAGGCUGAACCACAUAGUGAGACCCUGUCUCAAAAAAAAAAGAAAAAAAAGAAAGAAAUAUUCAUAUGUAAGCACAAAUAUAACCAUUUAAAUUUAUUUAGUUACCCCUUAGGAACUGCACGUAUAUUUGUGUAAAUAAAUACAAGGCAUGGAAGGACCUAGAAAAUACCCAUUCUCUUUUAUCUGUGAUGGUUACUUUUUUCUUCUCCUGUUUUUGUCUUCUUCCUAUUUCCUCCCAUCCUAUAUGGAUUUGGGCUCACUUCUCUCUCUAGUUUUUUAUCAGGAGAACACUCUUUGCUAUGCAAAUGUUUCACAAGGUUCUAGCUUUAGUAUCUUCUCAGAAUUAAAGACCAACAUUUCAAAUACAUGUUUGGGAUCUCUAUGAGGAUGUCCUGAUCACACCUUAAACUGGCUUUGCCCAAAGUUGCACUCCUCCCAAACCAGCACCUCUACCUCUGAGAUUCUCAUUGCUAAGAUUGCAAAUCUGAGUUACUUUUGAUCCUUCCUUUCCUGACAUCCUAUAUUUAUGCAAUUCAUCUUUAGUCCUCUACGUUGAUAUCCUAAUUAUCCAGUCUUUCCUUACCAUUCCUACUUCUACUCCCAACUCAAAGAUUCUUGCCCUGAUUUCCAUGAAAACCUAAAUGAUUUCCCAACCUCCAGUCCCCUCCCAUUACAGUCCAGCUUGCUUAAUGUACCUAGGUGAAUCUUCCUAAAUCACAAAAGCAAUAAUUUACUUUCAGUCUCAAAAUCUCCCAUUGCAAAACAGAUUGAAUAUAAACUCAUGCUUGCCAUCUGAGGCUCUCUACCAUAUAACAUAUCAAGUUAUCAUUUGAGCCAGGCUGGCCUCUCUAUGCCCUUGUUUCCAGGGUUGUAAAGAAUGGUUCCACAAAGCCAGAUUUAGCUUGCACAUAUAAUUUUAUUUGAUGUACACAGUGGCUUUAUAAAUUUUGAGUGAGUUGCUUAUUUUAAAUUAGUUGUUGGAAGGUUUCAAAAAAUCAGAUUCUCACUUUUUAUGAAAAGUUGCACUAUCUGGCAACAUUAGACUCCAUGGCACAAAAAGCUGAAGGUAGGCAGCCAGAGCUCUUUCAAAUGGGAUAACAUGUCCCAGUUUGCCACAGACUUCAUCUGAUUAAAGUCACAUAAUCUGGUGCUGGCUUGGUCCCUAUUGUAGUCAGGGUUUCCAAGGGAAUAGAUUUAAUAUAGAACACAUAAUUUACAGGGUUAUUUUAUAGUAUUCACCCAAAAAGUCAAAUGCAGAGGAAUACAAGAGAUCUCCCCACACUCUAGAGACCCAAAGAAUUCAGCCAAGGGCCUGAAUCACAUGGCAAUGUCCAGCACAAGUCCAGCUAAAGGCCUGGAUCCUAAGGCAAUGUAUCAUGCAACUCUAUCAAGGACCUUCACCGGGAAGGCCCAAAGGCCAGUGGUGGAAGCUAGAAAGUCUAUGCCAAUGGGGUGAAGGAUUUGUGCCACCAGGCUGAGAGAUCUGUACUGGAGCUAGGAAGUGACGCUCGAGAUGAAGACCUGAGCUCCUCUGACAAUGUGAACAGCAGAGUUCAUAUGAAGAAAGCCAGCCACAGCAAGCUUCUUUAAGAAAAUCAGCAGCAUAAAAUUUUCUCCACCAGUUCUCUUUUUAUGCCAUUGGCAACAAUUCUCAGGUGGGUCUUCCAUGCUCAGUACCACACUGACUCAGUUCAGCUAGGCGUUCCAAGUUGACAGUUAGAUAAUCCACCACAGUCCCUGCCAGCAUGUGAAUUUGUUGGAGUUCUUUUCAUCAAAUUGACUUUUUAAUCUUUUUUUCUAAGUUUAUAUUCUAACUUCACCUACAGUAACAGCUCAGUAAACAUAAUUCAUAGAAAUAACAGCAAAGAUUAAUUCAUUCCUUUUAUAGAUGAAGAAAUGGGCAUACAAUCUGUCUGGAUAAUGAUUAGCACCAUCAUUUAAAACGAGAAAAUAUUCUCCUUUUUUCCUUCUUUCUUG